rnacentral:rRNA from 1 species
GAUGAACGCUAGCGGCAGGCUUAACACAUGCAAGUCGAGGGGUAUUGGUAGGCUUGCUUCCAAGAGACCGGCGCACGGGUGCGUAACGCGUAUGCAACCGUACCUUGAACAGGGGGGAUAGCCCAGAGAAAUUUGGAUUAAUACCCCAUGGUAUUAUUGGAUGGCAUCAUUUGAUAAUUAAAGUUCCAACGGUUCAAGAU